rnacentral:rRNA from 1 species
UGCGUAGGCGGUCGGCCAAGUCUGAUGUGAAAUCUCCGGGCUCAACCCGGAAACUGCACCGGAUACUGGUUGGCUAGAGGAUUGGAGGGGGGAGUGGAAUUCUCGGUGUAGCAGUGAAAUGCGUAGAUAUCGAGAGGAACACCAGUGGCGAAGGCGACUCCCUGGACAAUUCCUGACGCUGAGGCACGAAAGCUAGGGGAGCAAACA